rnacentral:rRNA from 1 species
AGAGUUUGAUCCUGGCUCAGGAUGAACGCUAGCGACAGGCUUAACACAUGCAAGUCGAGGGGCAGCGAGGGCGUAGCAAUACGCCUGUCGGCGACCGGCGCACUGGUGAGUAACACGUAUGCGACCUGCCCCCUACAGGGGUAUAACCCGUAGAAAUGCGGACUAAUCCCCCAUAGUCCUGGAGGCUGCAUGGCUUUCAGGGGAAAGGCCAGCCGGUAGGGGAUGGGCAUGCGGCGCAUUAGCUAGUUGGCGGGGCAACGGCCCACCAAGGCGACGAUGCGUAGGGGUUCUGAGAGGAAGGUCCCCCACACUGGUACUGAGACACGGACCAGACUCCUACGGGAGGCAGCAGUGAGGAAUAUUGGUCAAUGGGCGCAGGCCUGAACCAGCCAAGUCGCGUGAGGGAUGACGGUCCUACGGAUUGUAAACCUCUUUUGUCGGGGAGUAACGUGCGGGACGUGUCCCGUAUUGAGAGUACCCGAAGAAAAAGCAUCGGCUAACUCCGUGCCAGCAGCCGCGGUAAUACGGAGGAUGCGAGCGUUAUCCGGAUUUAUUGGGUUUAAAGGGUGCGCAGGCGGCGCGCCAAGUCAGCGGUCAAAGUUCCGGGCUCAACCCGGUGUCGCCGUUGAAACUGGCGUGCUCGAGUGCGUGCGAGGAAGGCGGAAUGCGUUGUGUAGCGGUGAAAUGCAUAGAUAUGACGCAGAACUCCGAUUGCGAAGGCAGCUUUCCAGCGCGCUACUGACGCUGAGGCACGAAAGCGUGGGGAUCGAACAGGAUUAGAUACCCUGGUAGUCCACGCAGUAAACGAUGACUACUAGCUUUCCGGGGCGACUGGGUCCUGGGAGGCACAGCGAAAGCGUUAAGUAGUCCACCUGGGGAGUACGCCGGCAACGGUGAAACUCAAAGGAAUUGACGGGGGCCCGCACAAGCGGAGGAGCAUGUGGUUUAAUUCGAAGCAACGCGAAGAACCUUACCUAGACUUGACAUGUCCUGAAUUACCAGUAAUGUGGGAAGUUCCUUCGGGAACAGGAACACAGGUGGUGCAUGGUUGUCGUCAGCUCGUGUCGUGAGAUGUUGGGUUAAGUCCCGCAACGAGCGCAACCCUUAUUGUUAGUUGGUACCAUUAAGUUGACCACUCUAGCGAGACUGCCCGGGUUAACCGGGAGGAAGGUGGGGAUGACGUCAAAUCAUCAUGCCCCUUAUGUCUAGGGCUACACACGUGCUACAAUGGCAAGUACAAAGAGAAGCAAUACUGUGAAGUGGAGCAAAACUCAAAAACUUGUCUCAGUUCGGAUUGUAGGCUGAAACUCGCCUACAUGAAGCUGGAGCUGCUAGUAAUCGCGAAUCAGAAUGUCGCGGUGAAUACGUUCCCGGGUCUUGCACUCACCGCCCGUCAAG